GGGCGAGUAAAGGUUUCGACUACAUAAAGAAGAUUAUAUUGGCACGUUGAUGUUGGUCGGUUGGCAUCAUUAAAAGCCGACUAAACGCUUAACUGGCGUAAAUCAGUUAGCCCUUGCUGCCUAAUAAAACAGGCAACAACAGACUUAGAUACCGAAUAAGGGUAGGGAUCAAAAGUCUGUCGUAAAAUCCCUUUGCGAUAAAAUGACUCAACUAGUUUUAUCUAAGAAUAGUUGAAAUAGAGGAUAAAGGAUUUGUAUCUUGUUCCUUUCUUCUAUUAUAAACAAGAGACUAAACGUGUAGAAGAUAUAAUUUGAAAUAUGAUAGGACAGGGGUUCGACUCCCCUCUCGUCCAAUU
rnacentral:tmRNA from 1 species